GCGGGUGUAGCUCAGUGGUAGAGUGCAUGCUUAGCAUGCAUGAGGUCCUGGGUUCAAUCCCUAGUAACUCCA
rnacentral:tRNA from 1 species